rnacentral:lncRNA from 1 species
GGUAAUGAUCUUAUAAGUUGGCAAAUCUUGUUAGAUUGUUUCUACCAUAAUUCAUUCCCCUUUGGGUAUGCAGAACAUAUUCAAGCAAUAGUUUUAUCGUAGAGUGAAGUUCAUUUGUUAGUUUGUAACUUUAGAAACUUAUAAUAAGAUCCACUUGGUGGGAGUAAGAAGGCAAGAACGAGAGAACAAAAUUUAAGUUUGUUAAUGGAAAUUGCAAUAAAGUGACAAGUUAAGUUCCUUAUUUAAGAUGUUGCACAUAAUGGAGUCUGACAAACGAUGAAUAUCUUAACAUAAUCAUAGAAUAUAAGAAAAUACAAAAUGUAUGCAUAUUUUUACAGUUUCCAUGUAAUAAACAGGUGAAUGUACAACUAGUGGAAUUUAGAAAAUGCAGCCAUAAAAACAGCUGAGAGUUUACUUACAUUUCAUGUUGAUGCUUAAGCUUCCAGAACACUGCAUAACUCCACUGAGAAUUGCAGCAGAGUCUUUGAAGGAACGACCUCAGGGAAUUAAUCCCCAUAAAUUAAACUAUUAUGAAAAAAACAAAUAUCCAGUAGAUAAAAUAAGUAACCAGUUAUCGAGUAAACAUUCACUAACUGCCCCGAUAUGAUCCGCGUCCUGCUUGUACUAUCCAUAGACCAGCUCUUCGCUUCAUUGGUGGUUCCAUUGGGUUUAAUAACAAUAAAUCCAACAUUUUACGCCUUUCUUCAACUAUCGCUGGCAAUUUGAUGUUACUGGGUAUAAAAGAUUAUUAGAGAUGGAGGAAAUUAAUGAAAGAACACACUGAAGACCUCUUAGCCAUUACUUAUAACCAAUAGAGGAGGGGAUUGCGAGUCAAAGUAUUGAGUGGGUGAUCAAAUCUGGAUUGAAGCUACAAACUGAAUCAAGGUUAAAUCACCAACAGUUCCUUUUGUAAAAUAGAUUAGAAGUGCUGAAGUUGGAAAGGACAGUAGCACCGUCAAAGUAUUGANNNNNNN